UGGGGAAUCUUGCGCAAUGGGCGAAAGCCUGACGCAGCGACGCCGCGUGAGUGAUGAAGGCCCUCGGGUUGUAAAGCUCUGUGGAGGGGGACGAAUAAGGGUUGGCUAACAUCCAACUCGAUGACGGUACCCCUUUAGCAAGCACCGGCUAACUCUGUGCCAGCAGCCGCGGUAAGACAGAGGGUGCAAACGUUGUUCGGAAUUACUGGGCGUAAAGCGCGUGUAGGCUGCUCGGAAAGUCGGGUGUGAAAGCCCUGGGCUCAACCUAGGAAGUGCACUCGAAACUUCCGAGCUGGAGUGCUGGAGAGGAAGGCGGAAUUCUCGGUGUAGAGGUGAAAUUCGUAGAUAUCGAGAGGAACACCGGUGGCGAAGGCGGCCUUCUGGACAGCCACUGACGCUGAGACGCGAAAGCGUGGGGAGCAAA
rnacentral:rRNA from 1 species